rnacentral:rRNA from 1 species
GAUAAACGCUAGCGGCAGGCAUAACACAUGCAAGUCGAGGGGCAGCAUAGAUUGUAGCAAUACAAUUGGUGGCGACCGGCGCACGGGUGCGUAACGCGUAUGCAACCUGCCCGUCACAGGGGGAUAACCCGGAGAAAUCUGGUCUAAUACCCCAUAACAUAUGGAUCGGCAUCGGUUUAUGUUGAAAUUUUCGGAGGUGACGGAUGGGCAUGCGUAGCAUGAGCUUGUUGGUGAGGUAACGGCUCACCAAGGCGACGAUGCUUAGGGGGACUGAGAGGUUUGCCCCCCACACUGGUACUGAGACACGGACCAGACUCCUACGGGAGGCAGCAGUGAGGAAUAUUGGUCGAUGGGCGCAAGCCUGAACCAGCCAUGCCGCGUGCAGGAUGACGGCUCUAUGAGUUGUAAACUGCUUUUGUACGAGGGUAAAGUGGGUUACGUGUAACCUUUUGAAAGUAUCGUACGAAUAAGGAUCGGCUAACUCCGUGCCAGCCGCCGCUGUAA